rnacentral:rRNA from 1 species
UACGAAGGGUGCAAGCGUUAAUCGGAAUUACUGGGCGUAAAGCGUGCGUAGGCGGUUUGUUAAGUCUGUUGUGAAAUCCCCGGGCUCAACCUGGGAAUGGCAAUGGAUACUGGCAAGCUAGAGUGUGUCAGAGGAUGGUGGAAUUCCCGGUGUAGCGGUGAAAUGCGUAGAGAUCGGGAGGAAUACCGAUGGCGAAGGCAGGUCUCUGGGCUGACACUGACGCUCAUGCACGAAAGCGUGGGGAGCAAACAGG